rnacentral:lncRNA from 1 species
CCCGUGCGGACGCGCGCCCGGAGAUACACCGAGGCGGAGCCGCUCUGGAAGGCGCAGGACAUCUCCACAUUCUGCCCCUCGGUCGCCGUCACGUUCCGCGGAAACUCGGUAAAUUUUGCUGCAAAACAGAAAGGCAUCCUGUUGGAAUAUCCACACCCCUCUUGCCUGAGUCUCUUUCCUUGAGAGCUCGCUACAUUUUUCCUGGACUUAAAUAGCAACAAAACCCCUCUCUUACAUCCUCGGCUUCGUCUGGUUCCCCCAGCCCCCUUCCUUUGCCUCUUUCCUGUCUAACUUUUGGUAUCAUACCUAAAUCACUAUGUUGUUGAUCAAAUCCAGAUAAUGGAAAGGUUAACAAGCUUGCCAAUAACUCUUAGCCAAGAUCCCCGCAGGUAGAUCCAAAUACCUUUUGUCAGAUUGCAGUAUUCCACAACAUUUACUGAGAGAGUCAGUGAGAUACAAUUUAGGCAAUCUGUCAAGUUGAUAAAUGAGGAGAGUCUCUUGCCUCUAAGUUUCUAAACAAUCUACCACUAACUGGAUGUUUCAUGUAACAGAGUAGAUCAUGAUUAUCUGUCAAAAUGCACAUUCCUGAUACAUCAAAACGGUUAUUAGCAACACCAGUGAAACACGCCUGCAGCAGUGAAACAAGUUGCACACUUUAUAAACUGUAUAUGUUUCCUUCUCUCCAAAUUAACCUUUAUUUGUUCCCAUCAAGUCACUGUAUUUUGAAUUGCCAUACAUCUUAAGAUGUAAUGAUCACACAUCCAGG